rnacentral:rRNA from 1 species
GUAAGGGCAUGUAGGCGGUCUGUUAAGUCUGGUGUGAAAGCCCGGGGCUCAACCCCGGAAGUGCAUCAGAUACUGGCCGACUUGAGUAUGGGAGAGGAAAGUGGAAUUCCGAGUGUAGGAGUGAAAUCCGUAGAUAUUCGGAGGAACACCAGUGGCGAAGGCGGCUUUCUGGACCAAUACUGACGCUGAGAUGCGAAAGCGUGGGGAGCGAACAGGAUUAGAUACCCUGGUAGUCCACGCCGUAAACGAUGGGUACUAGAUGUUGCGGGUAAUCACUCCUGCAGUGUCGCAGCUAACGCAUUAAGUACCCCGCCUGGGGAUUACGGCCGCAAGGCUAAAACUCAAAAGAAUUGACGGGGGCCCGCACAAGCGGUGGAGCAUGUGGUUUAAUUCGACGCAACACGAAGAACCUUACCUGGGCUUGACAUCCCGAUCGUACUCUAUGGAAAGAUAGAGGUCAGCUUGGCUGGAUCGGUGACAGGUGCUGCAUGGCUGUCGUCAGCUCGUGUCGUGAGAUGUUGGGUUAAGUCCCGCAACGAGCGCAACCCUUGUCCUUAGUUGCCAUCAUUAAGUUGGGCACUCUAGGGAGACUGCCGGUGUUAAACCGGAGGAAGGUGGGGAUGACGUCAAGUCCUCAUGGCCCUUAUGCCCAGGGCUACACACGUGCUACAAUGGCCGGUACAAAGGGCAGCGAUACCGCAAGGUGGAGCAAAUCCCAAAAAGCCGGUCUCAGUUCGGAUUGGAGUCUGCAACUCGACUCCAUGAAGUUGGAAUCGCUAGUAAUCGCGUAUCAGCAUGACGCGGUGAAUACGUU